AUUGACACCGCGAUCGUGGAACACAUGGCUGAUCUGCCUCGAAUAACUGCACGCCGGCGCGUGCGUAGUGCCGUGGAGAACGAUCAGAAGUCCUGAACGACAAAGAAAACACUUCAAAGCUGCCUCUGCGAACCCUGCUCCUGGACAACAGCUGGGAGGCUCUGUGUUUAAACGCGUGCACCUUGGACGUCAUGCUCCUGCCUCUGCGAGCCCUGCUGUUGGACGCCAGCUGGAACGCUCUGCGUUUGAAAGCGUGCACCCCAGAUGUCAUGCUCCUGCCUCUGCAAGCCCUUUUGCUGGACGCCAUGGAAGGCCCUCCACUCGAAAGUGUGCACCUUAGACUACACGCUCAUCAAUACCAAGUUCUUUGUCCUUCUCGGCAUGAUUGUAGUACCAUAUAAUAGUGAGGCAAUAAAUAAUUUUUGCUGGUCACUUGAUGUUCCAUGCAUGUUGCUUGGUUUCUGAACACUUGGCUUGGUUUUAAGUUAUCUAGUUAUCUAUGUGA